UCAGAUUGAACGCUGGCGGCAUGCCUUACACAUGCAAGUCGAACGGCAGCACGGACUUCGGUCUGGUGGCGAGUGGCGAACGGGUGAGUAAUGCAUCGGAACGUGCCAUUGAGUGGGGGAUAACGUAGCGAAAGUUGCGCUAAUACCGCAUAUUCUGUGAGCAGGAAAGCAGGGGACCGCAAGGCCUUGCGCUCUUUGAGCGGCCGAUGUCAGAUUAGCUAGUUGGUGAGGUAAAAGGCUUACCAAGGCGACGAUCUGUAGCGGGUCUGAGAGGAUGAUCCGCCACACUGGAACUGAGACACGGUCCAGACUCCUACGGGAGGGCAGCAGUGGGAAUUUUGGACAAUGGGGGCAACCCUGAUCCGGCCAUGCCGCGUGAGUGAAGAAGGCCUUCGGGUUGUAAAGCUCUUUCGGCCGGGAAGAAAUCGCAUGGGCCAAUACCCUGUGUGGAUGACGGUACCGGAAUAAGAAGCACCGGCUAACUACGUG
rnacentral:rRNA from 1 species